UCAUGCACUACCAUCUGAUCUCCCACUACACAUAAUAAAGUUAUGGUACAAGGUAUAUAAAUUGAAGUUGUGCAAUGAUGGACUGAUUUUCAUUUACACGCUGAAUUUAUUUUGUUAAUUAAUGUGCAAUCUGUGAUGCAAAUAAUCCCAUUUGCUGAAUCACUGUGAUUAUUGCAAUCAAAAUCACCAUCUUUCGGCUGAGAUUGCACAUUGUUAUUCUGCAAAAUUUAUCUUUGUUUUAAAUUAAGGUUUAUGCCAUUUGGUAUCUGACACAUAAUCAUUUCUCUGAUUAUGUGUCUCGAAACAUGGCAGAAAGUGAGGGGGAACGGUCCUUGCGACACUGGUUGCUACUAUAUGAGCUUCUAGUUACUAUAUACCCGUUUACAUUUCCUUGCUUUUUUAGUAUUUCUGUUUAACUUUUGUCAUGCCUAUGUGUUGUGAUGCAUUAGUUUUGUACUGUGGAGAUUGUACCCCUGUCAAACCACUUAAUGAAAUUACAGAUAAUUAUUAGACUGAAAAUGCCGUCUUUUGGCUGAAUCACUCUGAUCAAUCAAAAUCACCAUAUUUCAGCUGAGAUUGCACAUUGUUGUUACGCGAAACAAUUUUAUCUUUGUUUUAAAUUAAGGUUCAGCCAUUUGGUAUCUGACACAUAAUCAUUUCUCUGAUUACAUGUCUCGAAACAUGGCAGAAAGUAAGGGGGAACGGUCCUUGCGAUGCUGGUUGCUGCUAUAUGAGCUUCUAGUUACUAUAUACCCGUUUACAUAUCCUUUGCUUUCUUAGUAUUUCUGUUUGGCUUUAUUCAUUAGUUAUGCCUAUGUGUUGUAAUGCAUUAGUUUUGUACUGUGGAGAUUGUAUGUCUAUCAAACUACUUAAUGAAGUUACAGAUAAAUAUUAGACUGAAAGUCUAAAAUCACUGUAGCAUAUUGGGCUAAAAGGUAUAGUUUGUUUACUUGGAAUCUCUCGAAAGUUUGUUUGAUUGCUGAAUUUGUGCUCCAGUUUGUUUGCUGUUUCUUACAUGAAGCAUUACCUGUCCUGAUGUUAUUUAUCACUUAUGAGAUUUGUGUAUGCAGUUUCCAUUUUUUCAGUGCCUGUUAUGCAGAUGCCAAGCGUCUCAUUGGCCGGAGAUUUACUGAUGCUUCUGUCCAGAGUGAUAUUAAGCUCUGGCCCUUCAAGGUCAUUGCUGGACCUGGUGACAAGUCAACGAUUGUGGUUCAGUACAAGGGUGAAGAGAAGCAGGUUGCAGCUGAGGUAAUAUUCAAAUUGUUUCUGUGAUGGCUACUUAGGAUUUAUGCUAUGAUUUUAACUUGCAUUGUUGUAAUGAUGUUGUUAAAGUAAACAAGUAACGGUAGCAAGUUUGCUUAUCAGCUUGUUGUUUUUCAGUUUUUCCUGUGAGCCUAUCUUUUCGUUCUUUUCCAUUAUAAAAACCCAUCUCUCUUUAUGGUCUGUUUGUUUUCUAUGUUAUAAAUGUUUUUCUGUAAUUUGUUGACCUUUUCAUUAAAUCUUGAGCUAGCAGAUUGAUGAUGAAACAAUUUCUCCAAGCGUUUGUUACGCUGAUCCAUAUGAUGGAGGGCUAUGGUAACAUAGCCUUCAUAGUUUUCAAUCUGAACCAUCUGCUGGUCAAUCAUUUUCCCCAGAUUUUUUUACAGCGAUUGUUUCUCCAUGCAUACAGUUCUGUAUUGAUUUGGGAUUGUACUAACACUUAGCAUAACAUACAUUAAUGAAUUCCUUUCAAAUUAAGAUUUCUAUUAUAGUGCUAUUCAAAUUCCUUAUAUGAUUUUUGCUCGUUUUCUUUACAAAAUCUCAUUCAAUUUUCUGUGCAACGUUUGGGAAAAAAGUAUUAUUUGGGAGAAGUGAUGAUAUUAUAUCCAUACCACAUUUCUGCAUUUGCUAUGAUGAUCAUUAAAUUCAUGCACUACCAUCUGAUCUCCCACUACACAUGAUAAAGUUAUUGUUACAAGGCUAUAUAAAUUGAAGUUAUGCAAUGCUGGACUGAUUUUCAUUUACAAGCUGAAUUUAUUUUGUUAGUGUGCAAUCUGUGAUGCAAAUAAUCCCAUUUGCUGAAUCACUGUGAUUAUUGCAAUAAAAAUCACCAUCUUUUGGCUGAGAUUGCACAUUGUUCUGCAAAACAUUUUUAUAUUUGUUUUAAAUUAAGGUUCAUGCCAUUUGGUAUCUGACACAUAAUCAUUUAUCUGAUUAUGCGUCUCGAAACAUGGCAGAAAGCGAGGGGGAACGGUCCUUGCGACACUGGUUGCUGCUAUAUGAGCUUCUAGUUACUAUAUACCCGU
rnacentral:lncRNA from 1 species